GGGGCAGGCGUGUGUGCGCACAUGUGUGUGUGUGUGUGUGUGUGUGUGUGUGGAGGGAUGCACUGGAUGCAC
rnacentral:miRNA from 1 species